rnacentral:rRNA from 1 species
UACAGAGGUCUCAAGCGUUGUUCGGAUUCAUUGGGCGUAAAGGGUGCGUAGGCGGCGCGGUAAGUCGGGUGUGAAAUCUCGGAGCUUAACUCCGAAACUGCAUUCGAUACUGCCGUUCUUGAGGGAUGCAGAGGAGAUUGGAAUUCCCGGUGUAGCGGUGAAAUGUGUAGAGAUCGGGAGGAACACCGGUGGCGAAGGCGGUGGUCUGGGCCGACACUGACGCUGUAGAGCGAAAGCGUGGGGAGCGAACAGG